GGGCCCGCACAAGCGGUGGAGCAUGUGGUUUAAUUCGAUGAUACGCGAGGAACCUUACCAGGGCUUAAAUGUUAGGUGACAGAUCUAGAAAUAGAUUUUUCUUCGGACACUUAACAAGGUGCUGCAUGGUUGUCGUCAGCUCGUGCCGUGAGGUGUCAGGUUAAGUCCUAUAACGAGCGCAACCCCUGUUGUUAGUUGCCAGCGAGUAAUGUCGGGAACUCUAGCAAGACUGCCAGUGCAAACUGUGAGGAAGGUGGGGAUGACGUCAAAUCAUCACGGCCCUUACGUCCUGGCUACACACGUGCUACAAUGGUAGGUACAGAGGGCAGCUACCGGUGACCGGAUGCG
rnacentral:rRNA from 1 species